rnacentral:rRNA from 1 species
GAUGAACGCUGGCGGCGUGCCUAAUACAUGCAAGUCGAGCGAACAGACGAGGAGCUUGCUCCUCUGACGUUAGCGGCGGACGGGUGAGUAACACGUGGAUAACCUACCUAUAAGACUGGGAUAACUUCGGGAAACCGGAGCUAAUACCGGAUAAUAUAUUGAACCGCAUGGUUCAAUAGUGAAAGACGGUUUUGCUGUCACUUAUAGAUGGAUCCGCGCCGCAUUAGCUAGUUGGUACGGUAACGGCUUACCAAGGCGACGAUGCGUAGCCGACCUGAGAGGGUGAUCGGCCACACUGGAACUGAGACACGGUCCAGACUCCUACGGGAGGCAGCAGUAGGGAAUCUUCCGCAAUGGGCGAAAGCCUGACGGAGCAACGCCGCGUGAGUGAUGAAGGUCUUCGGAUCGUAAAACUCUGUUAUUAGGGAAGAACAAAUGUGUAAGUAACUAUGCACGUCUUGACGGUACCUAAUCAGAAAGCCACGGCUAACUACGUG